GCCCCUGUAGCUCAGCGGACAGAGCCGCGGCCUCCUAAGCCGUCACGCGCAGGUUCGACUCCUGCUGGGGGCA
rnacentral:tRNA from 1 species